GUGGCACAAGUGGGCGUUUCGACGGCUACUCGAACAAGACCAUGUCCACACAUGAGCAAUCACGAAUUGGUGUGUCCCACGGGCUCCUUGCCUCUCGCAAUCAACCACCGAAGAGGCCAUCCUUCUUAGUCCUAUGCUCAUUCGUAUCUUUAGGCCAUUCUUUUUAGUCCAGUGCAUUGCGUAUGCCAUAUACCCGGCUCUGCAGGAAGUCAACGCAAGCUCUCGCGAAUGCAGCAGGCUUUGGGAAGUCAUUAAGCCACCCUCGUCGAGACAACAGUCGAUCCACCGAUGGGCCAACUGCGCUCCCUGCGGGCGGUCAGUCGGGUGCCUUGACAGCAUCGGCAUCG
rnacentral:misc_RNA from 1 species